rnacentral:rRNA from 1 species
GCAAACAGGAUUACAUACCCUGGAAGUCCACGCCCUAAACGAUGUCAACUGGAUGUUGGGCAACUUGAUGUGUCAGUAACGAAGCUAACGCGAGAAGUUGACCGCCUGGGGAGUACGGUCGCAAGAUUAAAACUCAAAGGAAUUGACGGGGACCCGCACAAGCGGUGGAUGAUGGGGAGUAAUUCGAUGCAACGCGAAAAACCUUACCUACCCGUGACAAGUACGGAAGUCUGCUGAGAGGUGGAUGUGCCUGAAAGGGAACCGUAACACAGGUGCUGCAUGGCAGUCGUCAGCUCGUGUCGUGAGAUGUUGGGUUAAGUCCCGCAACGAGCGCAACCCUUGCUAUUAAUUGCCAUCAUUAAGUUGGGCACUUUAAUAGGUCUGCUGGUGAUAAACCGGAGGAAGGUGGGGAUGACGUCAAGUCCUCAUGCCCCUUAUGGGUAGGGCUUCACACGUCAUACAAUGGCCGGUGCAGGGGGAUGCCAACCCGCGAGGGGGAACCAAUCUCAGAAAGACCGGUCGUAGUCCGGUAUUGUUCUCUGCAACUCGAGAGACAUGAAGUCG